UGAACCAGCGGAGGAUCAUUACCGAGUUUACAACUCCCAAACCCAAUGUGAACGUUACCAAACUGUUGCCUCGGCGGGAUCUCUGCCCCGGGUGCGUCGCAGCCCCGGACCAAGGCGCCCGCCGGAGGACCAACCAAAACUCUUAUUGUAUACCCCCUCGCGGGUUUUUUUAUAAUCUGAGCCUUCUCGGCGCCUCUCGUAGGCGUUUCGAAAAUGAAUCAAAACUUUCAACAACGGAUCUCUUGGUUCUGGCAUCGAUGAAGAACGCAGCGAAAUGCGAUAAGUAAUGUGAAUUGCAGAAUUCAGUGAAUCAUCGAAUCUUUGAACGCACAUUGCGCCCGCCAGUAUUCUGGCGGGCAUGCCUGUCCGAGCGUCAUUUCAACCCUCGAACCCCUCCGGGGGGUCGGCGUUGGGGAUCGGCCCUCCCUUAGCGGGUGGCCGUCUCCGAAAUACAGUGGCGGUCUCGCCGCAGCCUCUCCUGCGCAGUAGUUUGCACACUCGCAUCGGGAGCGCGGCGCGUCCACAGCCGUUAAACACCCAACUUCUGAAAUGUUGACCUCGGAUCAGGUAGAG
rnacentral:rRNA from 1 species